CCCCCCACCCCAUGCAAAUCGAAUCAUUUUCAUACCCAUUGCUGGUCUGCACAUGUACCAACUUUCCAAAUGGGACCAUGUCUUCUGGGUACUUAACGUUUUUUGUUAGUGAGUAUGGAAAUUUUAGAACUCGACCAUUUCUGCUAAAAGUUGUAUGGGUCGAGAUGUGUUCGACUGUACCAGUUCAUACCUCGAACGGGUUGGUUAAGAAAAAUCAAGCCGCACCUUGAGCAAAACUUCAGAACAGGACGAGGCAAAACACCUGGUAAAAUUUGUAUGGCGCGAGACGCAUCUCUGAUGGGCUGAGACGAAGGCAAACGGACCUCCUGGGAUGCUUAUGAAUCGCUCUCAGUCUCGUGGUACUUCUCGACUGAGUUUGACACGCGAAAGGUGUGUUCGGUGUGAAUUUUUGUUUGUACUUUAUCUACAGUACAUUUAGUGAUACAGUAAUCAUAGCCCCUAAGAAAGUGAGCAGUCCUAGCAGCAAAACAUAGAUGAAAGCUGUGAAACUAACUGUAGAACUUAAAAAGGAAAUUACAGCGAGACUUGACAUUGUAUCUGCCCUCGCUUUGGAGUACGGGAUUGUCAUUUAUUUGUUCAUUGCUUUUUUAUGUGUGAUUUUUCACGUGUGUAUUAGGCUUAUAUUGAUAUAGAUAAGUUUAAAUAGGCAAGCAUUUGGGGGUAUGAAAUGAAUUAAAUUCAUUUAUAUUAUUUCUUAUGGAGAAAUUAAACUUGCCCAAUCGCCGGCAUACUUGACACCCCCUCGUGCUUCUCCCUCCACACAUCUGUCAAGCCCCGAUCCUUCACCACCCUAGAUGCCAUAUGAGGCUCCUCCCCAGUCCUGUCUAACGUGAAAUCAGCGGUGCAGUUCCAGUCAACCGCCAACCACAACAAAAAUAUCAUGACCAUACUGUUGCAGAGCAGCAUCCAAGCCCCCCAAAAAGUGCAGCUGAUCGGUCCCACAGGUCAGCACAUGAACGUUCACAAAUUGAAACGUCCCCCCCGACUGUAGCCUGAACAAGCCGCAGUCUACUUCACUCCGCGUCCCGCAGCUGCACUCCCGUUAACACCACCCUCUCAGAAAAUAGCUCGCAUUCACACAAGUUCUAUGGCCCACCCUUCCACCCUAACCGUAAAUCCACUUCAAUGUCCCCAUCUCUACAGUAUGAGUUUCCUGAAGAAACAGCUCAUCUAUAUGAUGUAACUUCACAAAUUAAGUCAGCUCUGUUCGCUUAUCCUUAUUUCUCCCACCAUUAAUGUUUAACGACCCUAUGACUAAUUUCCCCGUUGAAGUGAUAAGGCAGAAAAACAAAGAAGGGAGGAGGGAACAAUGCACGAUCAAGAAUAAGCAAACUGGAAUACAGCUGUUGAUCAUCCCACGCCAGAGAAGCGAAUUCCAAAAUUCCAAAAAGAGACUGUCAUCAUCAUACGCAGCAACGUCUGAUACAACCCUCCCAUCACACAGUAUCCCAUUACCGAUUUCAGUGGGGUGAUCCGACACCACUAAGUCAGUACCUGGCUCUACGCAUACGGUCAUCCUGCCCUGUCCCACCCAAAUUCCCUCACCACCAUUCCGCAGUACCUAAAUGGGGCGAGUCCUGUGCAGACAGACUAACUUCUUAUGGCCAAUGUCUCCACACUCAGAACAUCGCAAACUGCCUGUACUAGCAUCUAACAUGGACAAAACACAUCCAAACCCAGUCCAGCAAGGCAAGGCAGCAACUUUACCACCUGAGACAGCUGAGGAAGUGUUGGGUUUCUCCAGCGAUUCUUAGGACUUUUUACUCUGGGGCUGUGGAAAAUGUUCUGACUCAGAACAUCACAUCCUGGUACAGAAACAGCUGUAUGCAGGACAAUAAGGGACGAAAGACAGUGAUUCUGGCAGCAUAGCACUGUACCAGAUCCUCUCUACUGUCUACAGGACCUUUAUACCAGGAGAUGUUGGAGCAGAGCAACCAGGACCAUCAGAGACUCAUCGCAGUAACUGUCUGUUUGAGCUGCUGAAAUCAGGAAGGCGCUUUAAGCGUAUUGUGGAACAAUACAGAGAUCCAGUAGGAGCUUCUAUCUUCACGCCAUAAGACUUGUUACCACUAAAUCCUUAAUAUACACAAGUCAUGUAAACUCUUCCUAUUGUACUUGUCACCAACCAGCUAUUUUAACAAUUUGUAAAUUGCAUAUCCAUCUUUGCUUAUACUUAUACUUGUCACCUGCAAUAAGGCACACUGAACUUUAAAUACAUAGUUCUUACAUCAUAUGCAUAUGUACAGAUUAAACCUUAAGAAUAUUUCUAUAUUAGAACAAAUUCUAUACUUCUCUUUAUUAUGUAUAUAUUUUAUUCUUUGUAUUUCUUAAUAGACUUAUUCUUAAUUAUAUUUUUGAUUUGCAUAGUCUAAGGGUCGUUCAGGUACAUUUCACUACAUGUUGUACUUGUAUAACUAUGUAUGUGACAAAUAAAGAAUCUUGAAUCUUGA